rnacentral:lncRNA from 1 species
CUGGCCGUGUUAGGCUUCGCUGGCGUAAAGUCCCCGGGAGCUUUGCCCCUCACGGAGAACGUUAGUUGACCCUGAUGGGGACCCGUAGGGUAAAGGUUUUGUUUUUGUUUUUUUUUACGGAAAAGGUUGUGGUUAGGCCCCUUGGAAAGUUGCGACAAAACUCGAGUUAGACAAGGAAGGUCGGAACUAAGUGGCCACAGCAACAAUGCACCAGCAAGCAGGGAGCGUGAUAGGAAGAGCUAAAGAGGAAUCGGGAAACCCUGGGGUCUCACCGCCGUCGCCCAGGCCGGAUGGAGUGCAGUGGCGCGAUCACGGCUCACUGCAGCCUCGACUUCCCAGGCUCAGAGAUGGGUUUCACCAUGUUUCCCAGCCUUGUCUCAAACUCCUGACCUCAAGUGAUCCGCCGUCUUGGGUCUUCGAAAGUGCUGGGACAGCAGGAGUGAGCCACCGCAUCUGGCCCGGAAAGUGUUUUGGAGCGUAGAAAAAUGCAAAUUAUAGGGCUGCCUUCAAGGAUCCCGAAGGACCCACAGAUUUGCCGCAUCAGGCUCCUAUGCACGCCGGUAAUUUGAUGUGUUGAGAUGCACUGCCCAGUGCGUUGUUUUUACUGGAGGAGCUUGUGUGCGGAGCUCCUUGCUAGUGUAUGUGUUGGGAUGGGAGAGAAGUGCGGGAGAACUAUGAGAUAAUGCCCCCUGAUCCUCAGGGUCUUAGGAGGUAUGGUCGGAGAGGCUAAGCUAAAGUAUGAAAGCCGUGUGUAGGCCCUUCUGUGUAGUGCAGAAAAGGUAGAGGUAUGUGAUUUGAAAGAGUAGGGAUGACAUGGAGGAUGCGACUCCUGGUUGGAUCUAUAAACUAAUGUCUUUGGAACGAAAGCACAUGCAACCUUUUGAAAAUGGAUGGGUGAUAAUGAAAGACCAUUCCAGAGAAGAAACACCAUGGUGCAAAGGCUCAAGAGGCAUACUGGAAGUACAAUGAAGAGAGCAAUCUAACUGAAAUGGGAAAAAAAGAAACAAAGAGUAAAAAGUAAGAUUUGAUGAGAAAGAUGGAAUCGAUUUUUAAAUUUUUUUAUCUACACAACAAAAUUUAUUAUCUUAACCAUUUUUGAGUGAAUAAUUCGUUAGUAUUAAGUAUAUUUACCUCGUGCGGCCAGUCUCCAGAAUUCUUUUCAUCUUGCAAAACAAACCCCGAACCCAUUAAACAAUUUCUCAUUCGCCAUUUUCCAGCUAGCCUUGGUAACCUCCAUUCUAGUUCUGUCUCUGUGAAUUUGACUGUGUACCCCGUGUAAGUGGUAUCAUACAGUAUUUGUAUUUUUGUGACUGGCAUAUUUCACAUAGCAUAAUCUCCUUGUGGUUUAUCCAUCUUGUAGCAUGUGUCAGAAUUUCCUUCCCUUUUAAGACUAAAUAAUAUUCCAUUGUGUGUAUAUACCACUUGUGUUAUUUCCACCUUUUGGUUAUUGUGAAUAAUACUGCUUCAAA